GAUGAAGAACGUAGUGAAAUGCGAUAAGUAAUGUGAAUUGCAGAAUUCAGUGAAUCAUCGAAUCUUUGAACGCACAUUGCGCCCGCCAGUAUUCUGGCGGGCAUGCCUGUUCGAGCGUCAUUUCAACCAUCAAGCCCCCGGCUUGUGUUGGGGACCUGCGGCUGCCGCAGGCCCUGAAAACCAGUGGCGGGCUCGCUGUCACACCGAGCGUAGUAGAUUUUCAUCUCGCUCAGGGCGUGCUGCGGGUUCCGGCCGUAAAAAGCCUUAUUUACCAAAGGUUGACCUCGGAUCAGGUAGGAAGACCCGCUGAACUUAAGCAUAUCAAUAAGCGGAGGA
rnacentral:misc_RNA from 1 species